UCUUCUCCGGCUCCGGUUUCUACUUGAAAACCCAGCAGAUCUGAGGAGGUGUCGAAGCUGGCUGUAGCCCAGCCGAAUCGCCGUCGGCCGCCGUCGCCGAAGCUCGCCGCUACCACCGUCGUCCGCGCGAAGCCCGCGCCCGCGCGCCGCUCCGCCCGCUUCGCCCAGCUCGUCGUCCCGAGCUGCUGUUCAGCUCGCGCAAGAGCUACCGGAGCUCAUUUGUCGCCGCCAUGAACCGCUGUUCGUCGCCGCCAACCACCGCCGUAGCUCCUCUGCCCACUCCCGACCCCAACCAGCCCCGGAUCUGCCCUCCUUCGCCCCCAACCAGCAGCAAACAGAGAAGAAGAAAAUGGGUAUGGCAGCCCCUUCGUGGGCCAUUUUGGCCGCCUUCCCAAGCCCGGAUACUCGGCCCGCUUUGAGGAAAGUCGAUCAUCGCGUUGUCCUCGUCGUUUUGGUCCGCUCGGCUCGCUAAUCCGGUGAGUUUAACUCACUAAAUCUUGAUUAGAGUGUUAAUGAUGCC
rnacentral:lncRNA from 1 species